CAAAGUUUCAAGGGCCAUUUGUCGGUGAUUUACCGGGAGCUUUGUUUCCUCAAUGCGGGGAAGCUCCCUCUUGGUCAUAGAGAGCAAUUGCCUGUCCUGAGGGUAGUAACUUCCCUCCAAGAAUCGCUUUCCUGGACCAUUGGGAAGUGGUUUAUAACCAGGGGAUAAGGGGACUGGGACAAGGCGAAAUACAGGCUGAGCUAAUAUAGGUAAUCCCAGCUGACAAUAUGUGGAUACUCCAGCUCUAUGUGGACGCUUUUUGAGUGUGA